UUACACUCUUGAACCAUACACUUUGCUUUCUUAAUCGAUAGUCUGCUGGUUUUCUCAGUCGCUGUGAUUAUAAGAGUAUCAUGAAGACUUCUUUCUUACUUAUUCUUCAAGCAACACUGCUGUGUUUCCUUGUAACUGUCCCGCGUCGUGCUGAAUGUCAGUUAUCAUGGGGCCCUUACAGACUACCCCCAAAACAAGGGAAGAGAUCUUCGAACUAUCACGAGGGGUAUAUGGACGAACGGGAGAGCUUAGCAGAAGUUAACUCAUUGAAAGCUCAUCUACGCAGAGAGUUGGAAAGGAAUCAACUGCUUCGAAGAAAAUUGAAACAGCCCAGAAACACCGGCAUUUAAUUGAGUUAAGACUCGAAAAUGAGGCUAAAAACGAACAAUGAUUUCGAGAUCAUUUUCCGACUUAUCUUGUUAUCUCAUUGCUGUAUUUCGAUACAAUUGGAUCUAAGAAGUAAUUCAUUAAUUUAUUAAAAAAGCGCCUUUUGACCUCGCCA